rnacentral:rRNA from 1 species
UACGGAGGGUGCAAGCAUUAAUCGGAUUUACUGGGCGUAAAGGGCGCGUAGGCGGCCCGCUAAGUCGAACGUGAAAUCCCCGAGCUCAACUCGGGAACUGCGUCCGAUACUGGUGGGCUUGAAUCCGGGAGAGGGAUGCGGAAUUCCAGGUGUAGCGGUGAAAUGCGUAGAUAUCUGGAGGAACACCGGUGGCGAAGGCGGCAUCCUGGACCGGCAUUGACGCUGAGGCGCGAAAGCUAGGGGAGCAAACGGG